rnacentral:rRNA from 1 species
UACGUAGGGUGCAAGCGUUAAUCGGAAUUACUGGGCGUAAAGCGUGCGCAGGCGGUUCUAUAAGACAGAUGUGAAAGCCCCGGGCUUAACCUGGGAAUGGCAUUGGAAACUGGCUCGCUGGAGUGUGGCAGAGGGGGGUGGAAUUCCGCGUGUAGCAGUGAAAUGCGUAGAGAUGCGGAGGAACACCGAUGGCGAAGGCAGCCCCCUGGGCUAACACUGACGCUCAGGCACGAAAGCGUGGGGAGCAAACAGG